rnacentral:rRNA from 1 species
GGAGUUAGCCGGUGCUUCUUCUGUGAGUGAUGUCCUUCCUGCCGGUUAUUGACCCGCAGGCCUUCUUCCUCACUGAAAGUGCUUUACAACCCGAAGGCCUUCUUCACACACGCGGCAUGGCUGGAUCAGGGUUGCCCCCAUUGUCCAAUAUUCCCCACUGCUGCCUCCCGUAGGAGUCUGGGCCGUGUCUCAGUCCCAGUGUGGCUGAUCAUCCUCUCAGACCAGCUACGGAUCGUCGCCUUGGUGAGCCGUUACCUCACCAACCAGCUAAUCCGACAUAGGCUCAUCCGAUAGCGCGAGGCCCGAAGGUCCCCCUCUUUCCCCCGUAGGGCGUAUGCGGUAUUAGCCUGGGUUUCCCCAGGUUAUCCCCCACUACCGGGCAGAUUCCUAUGCAUUACUCACCCGUCCGCCGCUCGCCACCAGGGAGCAAGCUCCCCGUGCUGCCGCUCGACUUGCAUGUGUUAGGCCUGCCGCCAGCGUUCAAUCUGAGCCANAAUCAAACUCUGA